rnacentral:rRNA from 1 species
AACGAACGCUGGCGGCAGGCCUAACACAUGCAAGUCGAACGCCGUAGCAAUACGGAGUGGCAGACGGGUGAGUAACGCGUGGGAACAUACCCCUCGGUUCGGAAUAACUCAGGGAAACUUGAGCUAAUACCGGAUACGUCCAAGGUUUUAAUCGACCUUGGAGAAAGAUUUAUCGCCGGAGGAUUGGCCCGCGUCUGAUUAGCUUGUUGGUGAGGUAAUGGCUCACCAAGGCGACGAUCAGAGCUGGUCUGAGAGGAUGAUCAGCCACAUUGGGACUGAGACACGGCCCAAACUCCUACGGGAGGCAGCAGUGGGGAAUAUUGGACAAUGGGCGUAAGCCUGAUCCAGCCAUGCCGCGUGAGUGAUGAAGGCCUUAGGGUUGUAAAGCUCUUUUAACCCGGGAAGAUAAUGACGGUA